rnacentral:rRNA from 1 species
AUUGAACGCUGGCGGUAUGCUUAAGACAUGCAAGUCGAACGGUAACAGGUUAAGCUGACGAGUGGCGGACGAGUGAGUAACGCGUGGGAAUCUACCUUGUAGUGGGGGAUAAGCCAGGGAAACUUGGACUAAUACCGCAUACGCCCUAAGGGGGAAAGGCGCAAGUCGCUAUAAGAUGAGCCCGCGUCUGAUUAGGUAGUUGGUGGGGUAAAGGCCUACCAAGCCGACGAUCAGUAGCUGGUCUGAGAGGAUGAUCAGCCACGUCGGGACUGAGACACGGCCCGGACUCCUACGGGAGGCAGCAGUCGGGAAUAUUGGACAAUGGGGGAAACCCUGAUCCAGCAAUACCGCGUGUGUGAAGAAGGCCUGCGGGUUGUAAAGCACUUUCAGUUGGGAAGAUAAUGACGUUACCAACAGAAGAAGCACCGGCUAACUCCGUGCCAGGAGCCGCGGUAAUGCGUAUGUGU